rnacentral:rRNA from 1 species
UUCGCCCUUUUCCGGUUGAUCCUGCCGGACCUGACUGCUAUCGGAUUGAUACUAAGCCAUGCGAGUCUUUGUAGCAAUACAAGGCAGACGGCUCAGUAACGCGUAGUCAACCUAACCUAUGGAUGGGAAUAACCUCGGGAAACUGAGAAUAAUGCCCAAUAGAACACUAUACCUGGAAUGGUUUGUGUUCCAAAUGAUUUAUCGCCGUAGGAUGGGACUGCGGCCUAUCAGUUUGUUGGUGAGGUAAUGGCCCACCAAGACUAUUACAGGUACGGGCUCUGAGAGGAGUAGCCCGGAGAUGGGUACUGAGACACGGACCCAGGCCCUAUGGGGCGCAGCAGGCGAGAAAACUUUGCAAUGUGCGAAAGCACGACAAGGUUAAUCCGAGUGAUUUGUGCUAAACGAAUCUUUUGUUAGUCCUAGAAACACUAACGAAUAAGGGGUGGGCAAGUUCUGGUGUCAGCCGCCGCGGUAAAACCAGCACCUCAAGUGGUCAGGAUGAUUAUUGGGCCUAAAGCAUCCGUAGCCGGCUCUGUAAGUUUUCGGUUAAAUCUGUACGCUCAACGUACAGGCUGCCGGGAAUACUGCAGAGCUAGGGAGUGGGAGAGGUAGACGGUACUCGGUAGGAAGGGGUAAAUCCUUUGAUCUAUUGAUGACCACCU